rnacentral:rRNA from 1 species
GACGAACGCUGGCGGCGUGCUUAACACAUGCAAGUCGAGCGGUAAGGCCCUUUCGGGGGUACGACGAGCGGCGAACGGGUGAGUAACACGUGGGCGACCUGCCUCUAGCUCUGGGAUAAGCCUGGGAAGCUGGGUCUAAUACCGGAUAUGACCUCGCGGUGCAUGCUGCGGGGUGGAAAGCCUUGUGCGGCUAGGGAGUGGGCCCGCGGCCUAUCAGCUUGUUGGUGGGGUGAUGGCCUACCAAGGCGACGACGGGUAGCCGGCCUGAGAGGGCGACCGGCCACACUGGGACUGAGACACGGCCCAGACUCCUACGGGAGGCAGCAGUGGGGAAUCUUGCGCAAUGGGCGAAAGCCUGACGCAGCGACGCCGCGUGAGGGAUGACGGCCUGUGUAAC